rnacentral:rRNA from 1 species
UGGGGAAUAUUGGACAAUGGGCGAAAGCCUGAUCCAGCCAUGCCGCGUGUGUGAAGAAGGUCUUCGGAUUGUAAAGCACUUUAAGUUGGGAGGAAGGGCAGUAAGCGAAUACCUUGCUGUUUUGACGUUACCGACUGAAUAAGCACCGGCUAACUCUGUGCCAGCAGCCGCGGUAAUACAGAGUGUGCAAGCGUUAAUCGGAAUUACUGGGCGUAAAGCGCGCGUAGGUGGUUCGUUAAGUUGAAUGUGAAGGCCCCGGGCUCAACCUGGGAACUGCAUCCAAAACUGGCGAGCUAGAGUAAGACAGAGGAUGGUGGAAGUUGCUGUGUAGAGGUGAAAUGCGUAGAUAUAGGAAGGAACACCAGUGGCGAAGGCGACCACCUGGGCUCAUACUGACACUGAAGUGCGAAAGAGUGGGGAGCAAACAGG